rnacentral:rRNA from 1 species
AUGUUGCGUAUGAAGUGUGGUCUGAAAGAUAGCGUAUAUGUCACUGUAGAAGAAAAGGUUGCUAUGUUCUUGUUGGUCGUUGGACAUGGUAUUAAAAUGAGAGUGUUGCGUGGCACUUACAAGCGUUCUUUAGAGACUAUCAGUAGGCACUUCUCGAAUGUGUUGACAGCCAUUCUUUCCCUAACCGGGGAGUUUAUCAAGCUUCCCGAUCCUUCUAUUGAACCUCCCGAUGAUUACAAAUGGAAGUGGUUUGGAAAUGCCUUGGGAGCACUAGAUGGGUGUCAUGUUGAUGUUUCUGUCGUUGCGGCUGACGAAGGGAGGUAUAGGAACAGAAAGCAAGAUAUCACCACUAACAUGCUAGGUGUUGUUGACUGGAACAUGAAAUUUCUUUAUGUUCUACCUGGCUGGGAGGGAUCUGCAUCUGACUCCAGAGCGUUGCAUUAUGCAAUGAGAAAUGAUCGUCAAGAUGCAUUUGUUAUACCUCAUGGAAAAUACUACUUAGUGGAUGCUGGCUACACCAAUGGACCUGGCUUUCUGGCUCCAUUCAGAUCGACUAGGUACCACUUGAAAGAGUGGGUCUCAAGUCAACAACAACAACCCGAAACUGACAAAGAGUUGUAUAACUUGCGCCAUUCUCGGGCUAGAAAUGUUGUGGAGAGAACUUGUGGCCUAUGGAAGAAAAAAUGGGCCAUUCUACGAAUUUAA